GACUUGAGGAGAGAUUAUUCAGAAUUUGUGGCGGUGAUAAUGGAAGGAACAACAGUAUUUAUACAUACAGAAUACACUGCUUUUGAGGAGCGAUUCAACACAUGGGAAAAUUCUGUUUUUUGAAACAGGGUAUGGUUGGUCGGGAUCCUACAUGAGCAAGCACUGAAGAUUAUUGGCACAUAUGCUUGAGUAUGAGGAAAGAACAAUUUGAAGGAAAUGUAGUUCACGAAUGGUUUCGUUACUAACAAGGAACAAGGGAAUUCCUUCUAUGUUGUGAAUAAAACAGUUUCAUCCGACACCCAAAAUUUUGUCAUGAGAUGUGCGGAGAAGAUAUACAUGAAUUUCCUUCUGAAAUACUAUUUUGUACUAGCAAAAGACCCGUGCCACGGAACAACGGAAAAUUGUAUCAAAACGUCAAAUUAAAUGUUGAUGUAUUUCAUGAUUAUAUAUAUAACGAUUAUGAUAUGUUUAUUUUCGUAGGCUA